rnacentral:rRNA from 1 species
UACGGAGGGUGCAAACGUUGCUCGGAAUCAUUGGGCGUAAAGCGCGUGUAGGCGGCAAAAUAAGUCGAGUGUGAAAGCCCUGGGCUCAACCCAGGAAGUGCGCUCGAAACUGUUUAGCUUGAGUACGGGAGAGGGUAAUGGAAUUCCCGGUGUAGAGGUGAAAUUCGUAGAUAUCGGGAGGAACACCAGUGGCGAAGGCGGUUACCUGGACCGAUACUGACGCUGAGACGCGAAAGCGUGGGUAGCAAACAGG